GGCCCGUUCGUCUAGUUUGGUCCAGGACACCGCCCUCUCACGGCGGCAACAGGGGUUCAAAUCCCCUACGGGCUACCA
rnacentral:tRNA from 1 species